CGCCCUUAGAGUUUGAUCAUGGCUCAGAUUGAACGCUGGCGGCAGGCUUAACACAUGCAAGUCGAACGGUAUAGGUGCUUGCACCUGACGAGUGGCGGACGGGUGAGUAAUGUAUGGGGAUCUGCCGAAUGGAUUGGGACAACCACUGGAAACGGUGGCUAAUACCGAAUAAUGUUGAGAGACCAAAGUGUUUCGACAUGCCAUUUGAUGAACCCAUAUGGGAUUAGCUAGUAGGCGGGGUAAUGGCCCACCUAGGCGACGAUCUCUAGCUGGUCUGAGAGGAUGACCAGCCACACUGGGACUGAGACACGGCCCAGACUCCUACGGGAGGCAGCAGUGGGGAAUAUUGCACAAUGGGGGAAACCCUGAUGCAGCCAUGCCGCGUGUAUGAAGAAGGCCUUCGGGUUGUAAAGUACUUUCGGUAGUGAGGAAGGUUACUAUUAACAUAGUAAAUUGACGUUAAUUACAGAAGAAGCACCGGCUAACUCCGUGCCAGCAGCCGCGGUAAUACGGAGGGUGCGAGCGUUAAUCGGAAUGACUGGGCGUAAAGGGCAUGUAGGUGGAUAAUUAAGUUAGGUGUGAAAGCCCCGAGCUCACUUGGGAAUUGCACUUUAAACUGGGUUA
rnacentral:rRNA from 1 species